UGAGCAAACACCUGACUGACCAACAGAACC
rnacentral:piRNA from 1 species